CAAAUUUGUUACAUUACAUUCAAUUCAAACUAUCAACGAUGAAAUAUUAUUCACCUACAAAAUCAUAAACUACUAACAAAAAAAUUAAUUAGAAUCGAACCACAUAUUAGCUACUUGAUUGUCAAAAUAAUAAUCAAUUUCGUUUUGGUUCUGUUUUGUAAAGGAUACUCUUUUUCGAGCUAUACGUUGGUCUUUCACUAUUCCGAGGUAUCUACUCAAUCCAGAAUUGG
rnacentral:lncRNA from 1 species